rnacentral:lncRNA from 1 species
AAGCAUACAUCCAAUAGCCCAUAUAUUAGGAAAGCCAUCCAAAAUCAGUGUUUACGUACAUACCAAUAUAUUAAACUAUGUAUCAACAUCCAGCAAUUGACAUAUGAGAAUUUGUACAUGGACUUGCUCAAAAGGAAAAACAUUUCUACGCAUACAUGAAACCACUCAGAUUCGGAUCCAUCACAUUGCACAGGCCAAUGACAACAAAACACACACACUUCUACGUCACCUAGAUUCAUGAUCAGCAGCAUCACAUACAUACACAUCAUUUUACUAUUUCUCAUCCAUCAUAUUCCAUAUAACAGUAGCUGCAACAAAAUACCAUAAGAUUGUCGCUCGUUAGUUGAAGUGCAAAUGGACUAGUGAGAUCCUCCUCCGGAUGCAUAGUUGUUAUCAUCAUGUUCUCAGUCAUAUUGCAAACUUGAGUGAAGCCAUUGCCGAUGUGAUCAUCCAUAGCGUCAUCCUUGAAGAUAACAUAGGACAAAUCAUCUUCCCCUACAAAAUUAUGUACAAAAUUAAUGAAGAAGCAAGAUAUUGGAGAAGUAUUUGAUAAGGAAAUAAAGAGAUGGCAACACCACAAACCAGGGGCUCCCGCCACCAACGGGUCUGCUUCGAGCACAAGUGAUUUUUAUUUAUUUUUUGACAAGGAGAAGUUGCUGGAAUUAGCUAAGCUUUAUCCUAGUGAUUUUAGUCACAGAGGUAUAGUAUUCUUGAACAUGAACUUGGUUUCUACAUAAAUAAUGUAAUCCAUGAUAGAAGGUUUUCUAGCUUGGACAAAAUAGGUGAUUGCUAAAUUGAUGGUGGAUACAAGGAAGCAUCUCUCCUAUCCUUUGGUAUAUCGGCUUUUGAAGCUAGCACUGACUCUCCAAGUUGCCACUGGCAAUGUUGGGACAUGUUUUCCAGCUAUGAAUAUUGUGAAGAAUGCUUUGCGUGACAAAAUUGGUGAUGAUUAUUUAAGUCAUAGCCUAAUUUGCUUCUUGGGCUUUUGCUCAAAAGCAACAAUAGUUCUACAUAUACAUGACACCACUCUUAUUCUCAUCCAUCACAUUGCACAGAGAAAUGACGACUAAAUACACACAUUUCUAUGUUACCUAGGUUCAUGAUCAGCAACAUCACCUACAUAAUUAUAGCCAGCCAGCACAAAGCCACAUAAGCAACACACUACCUGGCAGUAGCCACUAAGAAGAAAAUAGUACUCAUCCAACUGCUGACUAGAUAUGUUGGAACCUCAGCUCAUUGUGACACGUAUAUUGUCACUGGAGCAGCACUGUCCUAGACUUGCAUAUUCAGAAUUAAUGCAUCUCAUGCUGUAGUGCCAUUUGUGGACACACCAUAUGAUAUAUGAAUAAAACCAGAAAAGUAUAUAUGAAAUUAUAUAAUCUGGCACUAGGUUUCAUGCCUCGAGCAAUGUGAUAUCCUUUUUUUCUUCACAACUUAACAAUUCAGAGAUGCUUAUUAGGAAAUAUACUUACAGGAAAAUAGCCAGAGGACAUGAAUCUGUUGGACUGGUAGAAAUCCAACUAUGAAACCAUCCAGUUAUGAUCCUCACUCAUCUGUUCCGGACUCAUUGUCUCCUGAAUGCAGCGCCUGCACAAGUACACAUCAUACAUGUAAAAAAAGAAGAGUGAUUCAGUGGAAAACCAAGAAUAGGCCACAGUACAAGGGCCAAAGAGGAAAGGAUUUGAAAGUUACAUGAAUUCUUUGAGACCAUGAACCAUCAGCCUAGAUUUUACUUUGGCUAAUUGCAAAUUGAUGUAAAUCUGCAUCUACCCGCACUGGCACUGGGAUGGGAAGUAUUUAUAGUAAGAAACAAAUCCAUAGGAAGAUGAAAAAAUCAGCAGAAAAAAUCAUGACCAACGGCAAUAGCCAUUAAUUAGCAUGUUGCUUUGAGAGUUGGAUCCAGUGAAGAGCGGGGCAAGAGAAAAAGCAACGCCAGCCGCCGUUGUGCGUGAUGAUGGACGCAGCCAAUGAUAGCAUUUUUUUUCUCUCUCUUAAGAGAAAGCAGUCAGCCUGUUACAUAACUCUGAAUUGGGCAUCAAACAGUACUGCGCAAAUAGCAUCAGUGAUCUAAAAAGAAGAGUACAUCUUCUCAUGUACAUACACUGCAUAUCCUGAAGCAGCUACCAAGGAAAAAGAGUCAACAUCUUCACGUCUUCACAUGCAUACACUGCAUAUCCUGAAGCACCUAGCAAGGAUGAAAAUUACAGUAACAUCAAUCUUUUCAGUUUUCAGUGACUUAACCAAUGUGAUUGCUAAUAGCACACCUAGCAGCAGCAUCUAAACUUUGAGCUAGCAUAGAGAUCAAAGCCAUUUCUUGCAACAUGUAAAAUGAAUAAAUCCAUACACGGCAAAAGAAUGCAAAAAGGCAAUAAACAAAGAGCAUUUCUUGGGAACUCGUCUCGGAGGUAAACAGAAGACCCAAUAUCGGCUCCGGUCAGAGGUACGUAUAUAGCCCCACUGAAAAAGCAUGUUUUUUUUACUUACAGCGGAGCAGGGGAAGACCAUCUGGCAACUAAUGCGGUGGCGACGGCCUCCAGAAAUAGCUCCGCGAUGCAUCUACAGAAGAAACCACCGAGAUGGAAGAGAUAAGAGCACGAAAUUUAGCGAGAUUUGUGCAAAUUCACGGCCUAGACUUAUCAAAGGAAGAACAUUAAGGAUAAAAGAAAUUAAAAGAGCAGGGGAGAGGGGAGGACUGGAGUUUACCAUGGAGAGGGGCAAGGUGAGAGACGUGGCGAGGCGUCCGGUGAUGGGGACGUGAGAUGAGAGAAGGCGAAGAAGCAACUGCGGCAACCCAUCCUCACGCUUGCCGACGAUGUACGCGCACACACAGGGGAGAUAGACGGGAACGACCUCAACCUUGGGGUCAGAAGGAUGUGGAGGAAGGCGUCGGUCGGGGGUGAGGUCAACGGCGGGGUGGUGCGGUCGCCGUGGGCGAGGACG